rnacentral:rRNA from 1 species
AUCGGAACAUGUCCUGUAGUGGGGGAUAGCCCGGCGAAAGCCGGAUUAAUACCGCAUACGAUCUUUGGAUGAAAGCGGGGGACCUUCGGGCCUCGCGCUAUAGGGUUGGCCGAUGGCUGAUUAGCUAGUUGGUGGGGGGAAAGCCUAUCAAGGGCGAUCUGUAGUGUGUGUGAGGCGACCAGCCAACUGGACUGUGCACGGGGCCACUCUUCUGGAGGGAGCGGUGGGGAAAUUGGACAUGGGCGGAAGUCGAUCCAGCCUGUGCGUGUUUGGAGAGGGGKUCUGGGUUGUUAAGCCUUUUGUUUCGGAAAGAG